rnacentral:misc_RNA from 1 species
CAGCCGUCUGCCAUCUACGAACUCCGUGCGUGUGUGUACGUUUCGACCGCGCUCUCAUCAGCGGUGCUUCUUCACUGUUUCUACCUAGCUUUCCCCUCACUCCUCACCGCCUGCUUCCCCUCGCGACUCCCCUCCUUUUCACUCAGAGGAGUGUGAGGAACGCGCCGGUGUUGCAGGUGAGCGGGAGCAAACAAAUACGAAUUCGCUGAAGCCCCGACACAGCACAGCCCGCUGCUCGUGCGGUGCUCCUGCAUGUGCGGCGAACUUUGCAACGCGCAUUACCAUUGAGGAUUCGCGCAUCCUUGCAAGUCGCCUGUAUCAUCACCGCCUCUGGGUGUAGUUGUCUGCAAGACGAUCUUAGCGUCCUAUAUCCGCUUUCUCCUUUCUCGAGGUCCCACAGGCGGUGCUCCACUGCGGCACCACGAGUCUCAUACAGAGGCAAAAAAAAACUUCUAUGCUUUCUAGUCGACGGAAAACCGAUCGAAGCACAUCGCUGGUCGCCGUAUACACGCGCGCGCUCUAUAAAGCGACGCUUCUGCGCACUUCCCCGCCUCUCCGUCUCGAUCGCUUCACCACUAAGACGACAAGCUGCCAACACACGCCUCGCACGUCUUUGCCCGCAUAGUUUGCAGAACUACAAGACUCGAGGACACAUAAACGACAUAAAAAAGGAAGGCUGCGCAGAGCCGCCUCGUUCCCACUGGCGAGUGUUCGUGUGUGUGUGUGUGUGUGUUUGCUUGUACGGCUGUAUGCGCGCUCCUGUGGUCUUUGCUCGCUUGCGCACUUUUCCUUUUUUGUUUCGUGUGUGUAUAGUAGCCACUCCUCUUGUGUAGCAGAGGACGUAUCGACGUCUGUGUGCCUGUCUGUUGUCAGCAUCUUCUCCCCCUUCCCUUUUCCCUUUCUCUGGCUCACCCCUUUCUAUUCCUCGCAGUAAAAGAAACGGUCGUGUGUGUGUGUCGGCGUGCGUGCCUUUACAAGUCCUGUAUGGAUGUGUCUUGUGGGUGUGAGGCGUUUCUCGGCUUUUUGGUUGAAGUAGCUCUUUCGCCCCCCCCCUCCUUUUCCAUAUAUCCUUCAUCUUGGUAACUGCGCAUGUGUGACGCCUUCCUGCCGUGCCCUUCUCGAUUCCGACGACUGCGACCUGUGGUGUUACCGCCCUCCCCCUCCGCGAAUACCGCAAAGGCGGUCACGCCCACCACCGCUGCGACUCGAGGCCCCAGCACCAUCUCUCCCCCUCCCUCUCCCUUCUGUUUUAGUGUAUCAGUGUGUGUGUCUUCUUUUUCCUUUGAAAGCAUCUCUCUCUCUCGUGUUGUACAGCUCAUCCUCUUCUCUCUCUUCUUUGUUGGUCUCCGUGUGCCACCGAACACAGACGCACACAGAGGCGCACAUAUUUGUCUAUUGCCGAGUCGCAUUCGCGUGUUGGCUUGUGUUUGUGUGUGUCUGUGCGCAGUUGUCGUUGCCUUCUCUCGCGUUGUGUUUUCAGUGCGGCGCUCGUGCUUGCCGUCACCAUUGUCCUUCUUGUGGUUCAAGAGCAACGAAGCAACACGAGGAGGCGCACCCGCUCAUCUCUGUUCUUUUCGGUGAGAAGACGUUUGUGAAGCGCUUUUCUCUGCGUCUGAUUCUUUUUUAUUGUUCUGAUUUCGAGUACGCGUGAUUACAUACGGAGGUGCGUGCGUCGGCCUCCCCCCACUCCUCCAACCCACAUUCUUCUCUCCAGGGCAACUACGCUAGAUCUCCUGUUGGCUGUUAGGGGUCUGAGCGCCUCUCCCCCCCCCCCCCAUCGGGCUCACCCUCCGUCUUUGCGCACUUGUUUGUUUCAGCGUCUCCCGCUGCAGCGGUCGUUCGCUCCGCUCCCCUCUUCGCAUUUUUCUGCCUCGACUCGCCGUCCCGACACCGCCUCUUACGUCUCGCGGGACGACCGUGUGAAAGAUCAGCGCUUGCGCCGUCGACUUCACUUUCUUUCGUUGGGUCUCCCUGUACGCGUACCGGCGCACUGCAAAGACACACGUGCAGACGCUCGCACACAGACGCGCACCCCGGCAGACACGGUCACUGCAAUAGGACGUCCGAAGAAGCCGCCGAAGCUUUCCGUCGUGGCUCCUUUCCAUCUCUUUUACUUCUGCUCUGUUUGUGAAACCCCACCAACCUGCCGCAGCAAUGCUCCACGAAACGAUCGACGAGGAGCUGCCGGUGGAGACGACGGAGGUGCUGCCGUCCGCAGCACCACCGGGACGACCCCACCACCAAUCAGACCCGCUGUAUGACUAUCGCAGGGAGCAUCUGACGUUGCAAGAGCGGCUGGCGGAGAUAUGGGGGCCGGAGGCCCCGUACACGCCUGUGCCAGAGGAGACGUCGUCGUGGUUCAAGCGGUACUAUUACGGGUGGGUGUACGAGACGGUAGUGCUUGCGUCAAACGAGAAGUUGAAGCACGAGGCGCUGCCCCCGCCAACGCGGGAUGUGCGCGCGCACGACUGCGGGCUGCGGCUGUCGCGUGCUGUGCAGGCGGCGAUGUACGAGCGGAACGCGUGGAACUGCAUGGUUGGGACGGAGGUCGUGAGCACGCUGGACGCUUCGAGUCGCGGUGUUCUGCGGUGGGUCGGGGUGCCGCAGCAGGGCGGGUACACGCGGAUGAUGGCUGGCGUGGAGUGGAGCGUGCCGCCGGCUCUGCGCACCGCUGCGAGGUCCGACGACAGCGGUGCGUCGCCGUUCUUCGACGGCGUUGCGCACGGUGAGCACCUGUUCACGCCUGAGCAGAGUGGCAUGUCGACGCUGGAGGAGACUACGACGCUGAUGUUGAACCUGACGAGCCGCGGCGGCGUGGUGGAGAUUCCGACCCCGAAGCGCUUGCCUCUUGCACGCCUUCUGGCGUUCAAGUUGCCCUACUACCUGUGGAUGCAAGUGCCGUUUCUGCUUGUCAGCAACAUCUGCGUCAUCGCGCUGCCCAGCAUCCUGCAGGCGUUCGUCGCCUUCUUGGAUGAUGACCCAGGCAUGCAGACCUGGGGUCGCGGCCUUGGCCUUGUAGCGGGAAUAUUCCUCGUGCAGGCGAUGCAGAGUGUGUGCAAUCAGCGCUUCAACUACAUUUCUUUCCGCUGCGGUUUGCGGUACCGUUCCGCACUGAACUCGCUGAUCUUUGAGAAGUGCAUGAUCAUCUCCAGCAAGUCGCUCGCACAGCCGGAUAUGAACGCGGGGCGCAUCAUCAACAUGGUGAGCACCGAUGUGGAGCGGGUGUACUUUUUUAUGCUGUUCUGCAUGCUCUUGUGGAGCAGCCCGAUUGUGCUUCUUCUCGCCAUUGUGCAGCUCUGGCGGUUGGUUGGCUGGUGCGCCAUCAUGGCCGUCGCCUCCUUCCUCGCCACCAUCCCGCUGAAUGCCUUCUUCAUGGGCAUCCAGAUGCGGGCACGCCAGGACAUCGCGAAGGCUGCCGACGCUCGAGUCAAGGCAACAAGCGAGUUCUUUUCCGGCAUCCGCGUCGCCAAGUUUAUGACGUGGGAGCCUUGCUUCGUCGCGAACAUCGAGUCGAAGCGCGCGGUGGAGUUGUUCUUUCUCAAGAAGAUUCAGAACGCGCGCGUGGCCACGUCGUUCGUGAACAAUGCUGCACCCAUGCUGAUGAUAGCCUUCGUCUUCACCGUGUACUACUGCACCGGCCACGAGCUGAGCUCCACUGUUGUCUUCCCCACCAUCGCGCUGCUCGGCGUCCUCCGCCAACCGUUUCAGCAAAUUCCGUGGGUGUUCACGAUGGCGGUGCAGUUUCUCAUUUCGAUUGGCCGCAUCCGAAGGUUCCUUGAGUGUGACAACGCCACCUGCUCCACUGUGCAGGACAUGGAGGAGUACUGGAGGGAGCAGCGCGAACACAGCACUGCGUGCCAGCUUGCCGCUGUGCUGGAGAACGUCGACGUGACUGCCUUUGUGCCCGUGAAACUGCCGUUUGCGCCGAAGGUGAAGACGUCUCUGCUUUCUCGGGCUCUGCGGAUGCUGUGCUGCGGGCAGUGCAAACCCACGAAGAGGCACCCACCUCCAUCGGUCGUCGUCGAGAAUACAGGCUACGUCUCCCCAUCAAGUGCGUCUCGCCACAUCGUGGAGGGCUGCCGCGGCCCCGUGCACACGGCAACACCGACGUCUAUAAGAAGCCCAAAGACGCCUCAGAUGAAGGCGGAUGACUUCUUCGAGCUGGAGCCGAAGGUGCUGCUGCACGACGUGUCUGUGAGCGUCCCGCGCGGGAAGCUGACGGUUGUGCUUGGCGCGACCGGGAGCGGGAAGUCGACGCUGCUGCAGUCGCUGCUGUCGCAGUUCGAGAUCAGCGAGGGCCGCGUGUGGGCGGAGCGGAGCAUCGCGUACGUGCCGCAGCAGGCGUGGAUCAUGAACGCGACGGUGCGCGGCAACAUCCUGUUCUUCGACGAGGAGGACGCCGCGCGGCUCGCGGAUGCCGUGCGCGUGAGCCAGCUGGAGGCGGACGUUGCGCAGCUUGGCGGGGGGCUGGAGACGGAGAUCGGGGAGAAGGGCGUGAACCUGAGCGGCGGGCAGAAGGCGCGCGUGAGCCUUGCGCGCGCCGUGUACGCGAACCGCGACGUGUACCUGCUGGACGACCCCCUGUCCGCGCUAGACGCGCACGUUGGCGAGCGCGUUGUGGAGGAGUGCUUCCUUGGCGCGCUUGCGGGCAAGACGCGCGUGCUUGCGACGCACCAGGUGCACAUUGUGCCGAGGGCAGACUACGUUGUGGCGCUGGGUGACGGGCGCGUCGAGUUCAGCGGAAGCAGCGCGGACUUUAUGCGGACAUCUAUCUACGCUGGAAUGGCUUCCGGCGUCACGGAGAACAAGGAAGAGGGGGAUGCGGAGCGGUCGGAGUCUGCGCUUGAUGCAGAAGAGGAGGCAGAGGUGACGCUCAACAGGAGCGCCAGCAAAGGCGAGGGGGCGGAGGAGGAGGGCGAUGCUGCAGCUAAAGACCCCGCUGCCGGCUCCUUCGUCGUCGAGGAGGAGAAGGCGUCGGGCGGUGUUCCGUGGCGGACGUA